rnacentral:lncRNA from 1 species
AAUGAUUCAAGAAAAUGAGUCUCUUCCACACCAACCCUUGUAUGGAAAUUUUCAUUAUCAAGAAUUCGAUCAUCCAAGUUAGGUAUGGCAUAAUCAUCAAUUGCAUCACUAUCUCCAAUACAUCAAACAAAUCCCUCGGCUAUGUUCGAACAACUACGUGCCAAUCGUUUUCAAUUGUGUCCUCCAUGUAAAAUGCUUGUAAUGCUUGUGAUGCUAAUAUGAAAGGAUCUGCUUUAAAUCCCAAUUGAUUGAAAUUCACCAUAGUAAAUCCAUAUUGAUCGGUCUUCAUUCCUCAUGGACUUUCACUAUUAACCCAUUCGCACUUAAAUAACAUCACAGCCCAACCCCUAUCUCCUGCCUCAGUAGGACCACAAUAUUUAACUUUGAACAUAUCUACAACUUUGCCAUAACAAUUCACUUGCCCAAGUGCUCUAGGAACAUUUGCAGGUACAAAAACACCACAAUUUUGAUUUUUAUGCUUAUCAUCCACAAAUUUUAUACGAAAUCUAAAACCAUGAACAAUGUGACUUUUAUAUCUACUCAUAACCAUACUUGGAUAAUUAGCUAGCCAAUGCAAGUCUUGAGAUAUCAACGUGUCAUUAGCAUGACAUCUUGAAUUCAUUUGUAAUAAGUAUGAAGAUAAAAAUUGACUGAAUAACUAUAAACAUGUUAUAAUUAAAAUGCAAAACAAUAAAUAAAUAAUGUGAUUGUUAUAUCAACUCACAUGUUGCUUGAACCAUUCUGGAAAUUCUUUCUUGCUUAUCUCCUUAAUUUGUCGCAUAGUUAACCUUUCUCGACGAUGUUUAGUUUUCAAGAAUUCCUCAUGUUGCCUAGAUAAUUAUGUCCAAAUUUAGAUAAUUAAUUUUUCAAAGUUAAGAAAACCAAUAAAACAUUAAGAUGUAUGAUUAAACGUUCUUACCUUUGAAAUAGGCUAACUUUAUCACAAUUAUUUAGAAUGUAUUUAUGGCACUGAUCAAGAACAUUUAGAUCUAGCUCCAUAUUUUCUCCUGAACCCAAAUAACAUCAUUUUGAGUCAAAAAUUGAUAACCCACCAGAUACUCCACGUCCAAUACCAUCUUCAUUUCGGCCUCUACGGGUACGAAGAAACUCAAUGUCUCUAAGAUACAUGGAACAGAAGGACAAACACUCAUCCACCAAAUAUGCUUCAGCAAUAGAAGCUUCAGGAUGACCUUUAUUACGAACAUAGCGCUUCAAUGUUUGCAAAUACCUAUAAUUAUAAAACGAAAUACAAAUCAUUAUAAUUAUUAAUUAAAGUUACUACAAUUGUAAAAAAUUUAUAAAAAUUUAUUCAUUACUGUUCAAUUGGAUACAUCCAUCUACAUUGAACAGGCCUUGCAAGAGCUGCUUCAUCUGCCAAGUGAAUUGGGAGGUGCACCAUUAUAUCAAAAAAUGCAGGAGGGAAUAUUUUUUCAAGUUGACAUAGGCAAUUCUUGAAUUCAGUUGCUUGAAUCCUUCCUCAGACUCCUUCUUACUACACAACUGUCUGAAAAUUGCACUCAAUGUAAACACUGAAAUUCCUGCGAUGAAUGAGACAAGAACAUGUGUACAAAAUAAUAUUUUUUGUAUUGAUUUCGGGGUUACAAUCUCUUUUACAAUUUAGUCAUCUGAUUUUAUCUUCGUAAGACGUAGAUUUGCAGAUUGUGUUGU